CGAGAUCUCUGGAGGAUAUACAGAGUGCUUUUCAACAAGGCCCCGAAUCUAAUCUAGCUGAGGUGCCACAUUCCUCAGGAGUAGAGCAUCCUGAUGUGGUUUCUACUGAAGAGAUUGAUGGUAGUAGUCCCGUCUCUGGUAUUCAAGCAAUGAGUGAGAAUGUUGCCAGUGGACCAAAAAAUGAAAACAAAGAAAUGGUAGAAAAAGAGAUGGAGACUGAGGUGGUGCUACCUGUACUUGAAGCAAAAUCAGUGGAAGACAUCGAUGUGGCGUUUAAGCAACUUCAUGAAGGGGUAAAUGUGGAGGAAAUAAUUAUUCCAAGUAUGAUUGUGAACCAACAGGUUCAUGCAGACAUCAGUUCAACAUUAC
rnacentral:lncRNA from 1 species